rnacentral:rRNA from 1 species
UACGAAGGAUUCGAGCGUUAUUCGGAUUUAUUGGGUUUAAAGGGUGCGUAGGUGGACUAAUAAGUCAGUGGUGAAAGCCCGCAGCUUAACUGCGGAACUGCCAUUGAUACUGUUAGUCUUGAGUACAGUUGAGGUGGGCGGAAUGUGUCAUGUAGCGGUGAAAUGCUUAGAUAUGACACAGAACACCGAUUGCGAAGGCAGCUCACUAAGCUGUAACUGACACUGAGGCACGAAAGCGUGGGGAGCAAACAGG